UACGGAGGGGGCGAGCGUUAUUCGGAAUUAUUGGGCGUAAAGGGCGCGUAGGCGGCUGAACAAGUCAAAGGUGAAAUCCCUCGGCUCAACUGAGGAACUGCCUUUGAAACUGUUCGGCUUGAGGCCGGGAGGGGGUAGCGGAAUUCCCAGUGUAGCGGUGAAAUGCGUAGAUAUUGGGAGGAACACCAGUGGCGAAGGCGGCUACCUGGACCGGUUCUGACGCUGAGGCGCGAAAGCAUGGGGAGCGAACGGG
rnacentral:rRNA from 1 species